ensembl:snRNA U6 U6 spliceosomal RNA
CCCUGCGCAAGGAUGACACGCAAAUUCGUGAAGCGUUCCAUAUUUUU